rnacentral:rRNA from 1 species
UACGUAGGUGGCAAGCGUUGUCCGGAUGUAUUGGGUUUAAAGGGUGCGUAGGCGGUUCCAUAAGUCAGUGGUGAAAUACGGCAGCUCAACUGUCGAGGUGCCAUUGAUACUGCGGAACUUGAGUACUGAUGAGGUAGGCGGAAUUGACGGUGUAGCGGUGAAAUGCUUAGAUAUCGUCAAGAACACCGAUAGCGAAGGCAGCUUACUAAGGAGUAACUGACGCUGAGGCACGAAAGUGCGGGGAUCAAACAGG